AAAAAAGAAAAAAAGAGGUUGAUUUGCUGCAAAGUCAGAAUUGUAGAGAGAGGGAGAAACAGAGAAGCAGAGAUCUUCCAUCUGCUGCUCUACCCCCUAAAUGGCCACAAGGGCCGGGGCUGGGCCAGGAUGAAGCCAGGAGCCUGGAGCUCCAUCUGGGACUCCCGUGUGGGUGGCAGAGGCCCAAGCACUCAGGCCAUCCUCUUCUGCUUUCCCAGGCACAUUAGCGGAGAGCUGGAUCAGAAGUAGAGCAGCCAAGAUUCAAACCUGGAGUCCCAGGUGACAGCUUAACCCAGUGGACCACGAUACUGUUCCCUGGACUCACUUUUUUAGCUUUAAAGAACUUUCCCAACAUGUGUGAAAUAGUGUUGCCAGAACUCGUGUACUCAUCAUUCAGCUUCUACAGUUACCUGCUGAUGAUCUUGCUGCUUCUAAAACCCUGCCCCCACCCCCACCCCAGCAGAUCUCAGCUAGUGUGUCAUUUCAUAUUGGAUGGUCUCUAAAGGCUUCUAUGUAUAGCUCUAAAAGACUAGGACUUCUCUCUUGAUUUUUCCCCCAGUUUUACAGUUCAUUUGAUGGCAAUUGGUAAAAUCACAAAAUUUCUCGACUUAUGACCCCUUUAGACAGAAGUCUGCAAAUUAGCACUGAUCGUUUGCAAAAGCCAUUAUACUAACUGUACUGUCAUUAUACUUAAGGUUGAUCAAGGGUAACCUAGAAUUAGUCAUUAUGUGAUCAUACAAAAUCAUAUAAUAAAUAUUUAUUAUGUAAAUGAUGUUAUAUAGCAUAAUGAAUCACACCUGGUAUAUCACCCCAAUUUAUAAAAUAAGACCUAGAGAAAGAACUAGAUUUGGGGACACAUAUGACUCCUCUUUGGAAAAAAAAAAAAAACAAAAAAAAAAGGCACAAGAAAGUUCUUAAUAUCAUCAGAUGUCCAGUCUCAUUUCUCUAAUUAUCCUAAGAUUUCUCUCUCUCUCUCUCUCUUAAAGAUUCUAUUUACUUAUUUAUUUGAGAGAGUUAUAGAGAGAGGGAGAGACAGAGAGAAAGGUCUUCCAUCUGCUGAUUCACUCCCCAAAUGGCCUCAGCUGCUGGAGCUGGGCCCAUUGGAAGCCAGGAGCCAGGAGCUUCUUCUGGGUCUCCCAUGCAGGUGGCAGGGAGCUGGACCAGCAAUUGAGAAGCAAGGACUCAAACCAGUUCCGAUUUGGGAUGCCGUUGCCACAGGCUAAGGCUUAGCCUACUACACCACAGCGCAGGCCCUAUGAUUUCUCUUUUUUGAAGAGUUACUUUAUUUAUUUGAAGGUGGAGUAAAAGAGAGAGAGAAACAGGGCCGGCGCCGUGGCUCAAUAGGCUAAUCCUCCACCUUGCGGCGCCGGCACACCGGGUUCUAGUCCCGGUCGGGGCGCCGGAUUCUGUCCCGGUUGCCCCUCUUCCAGGCCAGCUCUCUGCUGUGGCCAGGGAGUGCAGUGGAGGAUGGCCCAGGUGCUUGGGCCCUGCACCCCAUGGGAGACCAGGAAAAGCACCUGGCUCCUGGCUCCUGCCAUCGGAUCAGCGCGGUGCGCCGGCUGCAGCGGCGGCCAUUGGAGGGUGAACCAACGGCAAAAGGAAGACCUUUCUCUCUCUGUCUCUCUCUCUCACUGUCCACUCUGCCUGUCAAAAAUAAAAAAAUAAAAUAAAAAAAAAUCACCUCCAUUUCUGAAUACGCGCAAUUACAAUCUAUCAGCUAAAAAUAAAAGAUAAUGAUUUAAAAAAAAAAAAGAGAGAGAGAGAGAAACAGAGAAAGAGAUCUUCCAUCCACUGGUUCACUCUCCAAAAGGCCACAACAGCCAGGGCUGGACCAGGCCAAAGCCAGGAGCCUGGAACUCCAUCCAGGUCUUCCACGUGGGUGGCAGGGACCCAAGUACUUGGGCCAUCCUCUGCUGCUUUCCUAGGUGCAUUAGCAGAAGCUGGAUCAGAAGUGGAGCAGCCAGGACUCGAACCAGUGCUCUGAUAUGGGAUGCCAGCCUUGCAGGCAGCAGCUUAACCCACUGCUCUACAACUCUAGUCCCCGAGUUCUCUUUCUUUAAAAAGUCUUUUUAUUUGAAAAAGAAUCCAAACAAUUCCACAUUGUGUCCCUUAAAUCACUUUUUUAAAAAAGAUUUAUUUUAUUUAUUUGAAAGACAGAGUUACAGAGCAAGAGAGAGAGAGAGAGAAAGAGGUCUUCCAUCUGGUGGUUCACUCCCCAAAUGACCGCAACGGCCAGAGCUGAGCUAAUCCAAAGCCAGGAGCUUCUUCCAAGUCUCCCACACUGGUGCAGGGGCCCAAGUGCUUGGGCCAUCUUCUACUGCUUUCUGAGGCCAUAGCAGGGAGCUGGACCAGAAGUGGAGCAGCUGGGACUCGAACUGGCGCCCAUAUGGGAUGCCGCUGCUGUAGGCUGCAGCUUUAAUCUGCUGCACCACAGCGCCGGCCCCCCACCCUUAAAUCACUUUUAAUGUGUGGGUCCCCUCCUUUCUCAAUUGUUUUGUUGAAGAAAGGAUAAUUUGUUCAGUAGAGUUUCCUACAGUCUAGAUUUUGAUGGUUGUUUUCCUAUGUGGUGUUUGCCAGAUUUUAAAUAUUUGUGGUAUUGAUUGGAUCGUUUAAUUUCAUGAAGUGAAUCUCGUGUUUGUAGUUACGUGUGCCAGGAAAUAAAUAAUAAAAUAGCAAAAGUGUUUAAGCAAAACAAAGCAGUCAUUGGCUUUGGUCACGCUGCAAAGGAACUAAGCUCUCAGGAGUUCUAUGCAGUUUCUCAGAGACCCCGUGCAGGUGGAAGAUGCCACCACACUCGGGCAAGUAAAACAGGUGCAGCCCCCAUUUGCUAGGGGUUUGGUGCGGAAGGAGGCAUCGCCUCUUCGUGGUUCAGCAGGCCAUGGCUGUUCCUGCAGAGCUGUGUGUGUAUCAGAUGUUACCUUGCCCAUCCUGCCUGGAAGGCUGACUUUGCUGGCACAGAGGCAGUGAAGGGCGACAGCUCUGAAGACCUGUGCUGGUGUUGAAACGGCUCCAGAUUUGGCUGGGAAGCGGGGCAGGAGCCGCCUCCUCUUUCUGCUUUUGCCCCAGCUCUCUCCUCCCCCUCAGCCCUUUACCUUCUAGAACGUCUCUCACCAUUGCACACUCAGUGUGUAGGGCAGGGGCUGUCACCUGUUUGUUUAUCUAAUAUCUGUUUGUUCAGCCCUGACUGUGCCUCACACUAACCCAGGGAGGCCCUAGGGCUGCCAAAAUAAAGACAGAGGUAGUCCCUGUCCGCCUUACGGGACCUAAUCUGGGCAAAUAAUCACUCAGGCCUCCAAAGCUGUUAAUGGUGACAGCUGACCGUAAGGCUCGGGCACGUCUGAAGGCCCCUGGAAAGGCUGCCAUUGUGAGCAAAGCUUCGAGAGAGGAGAGAGAAGACGUACAGUGCACAAUGCGAGAACCGAAGUUCGGAGGUAGAGGAGCAGGCGAGCGGUUUGCCCGGGCGCAGAGCAUGAAGGCCGGGCGGGCGCGGGGAGCGGGCGCCCCCCUACCGGCCCGUUGGUGACCGA